UACGGGGGGGGCAAGCGUUGUUCGGAAUUACUGGGCGUAAAGGGCUCGUAGGCGGUGUGUCGCGUCGGCCGUGAAAACCUGCAGCUUAACUGUGGGCUUGCGGUCGAUACGGGCAUCACUGGAGUUCGGCAGGGGAGACUGGAAUUCCUGGUGUAGCGGUGAAAUGCGCAGAUAUCAGGAGGAACACCGGUGGCGAAGGCGGGUCUCUGGGCAGUAACUGACGCUGAGGUGCGAAAGCGUGGGGAGCAAACAGG
rnacentral:rRNA from 1 species